rnacentral:rRNA from 1 species
CCCUUAGAUGUUCUGGGCCGCACGCGUGCUACACUGAACGGUUCAAUGGGUAAGGUAGUGCGAAAGCAUGACCUAAUCUCGAAAUCCGUUCGUGCUGGGGAUAGAAGCUUGCAAUUAUCCUUCUUGAACGAGGAAUACCUUGUAAGCGUGAGUCAUCAUCUCACGCUGAAUACGUCCCUGCCCUUUGUACACACCGCCCGUCGCUCCUACCGAUUGGGUGUGCUGGUGAAAUGUUCGGAUCGGCCGUUUGUCGCGGUUUCCGCGGCUCGUGGCUGAGAAGUUCAUUAAACCCUCCCACCUAGAGGAAGGAGAAGUCGUAACA